GGCCGGGCCAUUAUUUUUUUAUAAAAAAAACACAAAAUACCGCUCGUUAACCAAAUCCCUCAAGUUUCUUUUUUCCUUCUACUCUCAAAAAUUUGCCCCCAAAUUUCCUUUUUCCUUUUCAUUUCACUUCACCCACCAUAGCUACUUCUUUUCUCUCGAUCUGUUAAGGUUUUUGGAGAAACAAAUGGAAGUUGAAGAGAAGGAGAACGAGGAAGAAGCUCUCACAUUUAGAAGAUGAAAAUCAUGUUCUACGACAAAAAGCAUUGACCCCAUCCCCGAAAAGCAACCGUUCUAACUUUUUAAAGUCAUUUUCAGAUUGAGGAAUUUAGGGGUAUUUUCAAGAAGGAAAAUCCUAAUGUGAAGGCUGUAUCAGCUGUUGGUAAAGCUGCGGAAGAGAUGUGGAAAUCCAUGUCUGAGGAAGAAAAAGCCCCUUAUGAGGUCAAAUCUGGACAAAGGAAGGUUGAGUAUGAAAAACAAAUGAAAGCCUACAACAAAAAACA